CAGCUGUGCUGCUGUCUGCGCUGGUGCUGGCCUGUGGUGCUGUGAUAUGGAUGUGCCAAAAAUACGUAGUGUGCAAGAGAGAAGAGAGAGCAGCAGAGCAGGCUCAUCCUGAUA